rnacentral:rRNA from 1 species
GACAUAGGUCGCAAACGUUAUCCGGAAUUAUUGGGCGUAAAGGAUGCGUAGAUGGUUCAGUAAGUUACUGGUGGGAAAUCGAGGCCCAACCUCGUGGAAGUUAGUAAUACUGUUGAACUUGAGUGCAGGAGAGGUUAACGGAACUUCAUGUGGAGCGGUAAAAUGCGUAGAUAUAUGAAAGAACAUCAAUAUGGCGAAGGCAGUUAACUAGUCUGCUACUGACAGUGAGGCAUGAAAGCGUGGGGAGCAAAACGG